GACGAACCGAGCGAACGUUGUUCGGAAUCACUGGGCUUAAAGGGCGCGUAGGCGGGCCGCCGCGUCCGGGGUGAAAUCCUCCCGCUCAACGGGAGAACGGCCUCGGAUACGGGCGGCCUGGAGGGGGGUAGGGGCGUGCGGAACUGUGGGUGGAGCGGUGAAAUGCGUUGAUAUCCACAGGAACUCCGGUGGCGAAGGCGGCACGCUGGACCCCACCUGACCGCUGAGGCGCGAAAGCUAGGGGAGCAAACGGG
rnacentral:rRNA from 1 species